rnacentral:rRNA from 1 species
GACGAAGGUGGCGAGCGUUGUUCGGAAUCACGGGGCAUAAAGCGCACGUAGGCGGCGACGUAAGUUGGGUGUGAAAUCCCUCGGCCCAACCGAGGAACUGCGCCCAGUACUGCGUUGCUUGAGGAUCCAAGGGGUGCAUGGAAUUCCCGGUGGAGCGGUGAAAUGCGUUGAUAUCGGGAGGAACUCCGGCGGCGAAAGCGGCUCACUGGACCAUAACUGACGCUGAUGCACGAAAGCUAGGGGAGCAAACAGG